rnacentral:rRNA from 1 species
GAAAUGCGAUAAGUAAUGUGAAUUGCAGAAUUCAGUGAAUCAUCGAAUCUUUGAACGCACCUUGCGCUCCUUGGUAUUCCGAGGAGCAUGCCUGUUUGAGUGUCAUGAAAUUCUCAAACCUACAAGUCUUUUGYGGGCUUUUGUAGGCUUUGGAUUUGGAGGCUUGUUGGUUGGCCGUAAAGGUCGGUAUCAACUCCUCUUAAAUGUAUUAGCCUGGUUCCUUGCGAAUCGGCUAUCGGUGUGAUAAUUAUCUGCGCCGUGGUCGUGAAGCGUUUUUGGCCGGCUUCUAACAGUCUCUGAUUGGAGACACUUUCAUCAACCUCUGACCUCAAAUCAGGUAGGACUACCCGCUGAACUUAA